UUAGCUGGGGUAGCUGGUUUAAUUAAACUAAAUCGGUUAAGAGACUCUUUGAGAGGUUGAAGGUCCUUUAUAUAAGGAUACAUAGAUACAGUUACUUUAGGGAUAACAGCGUGAUAGUUUUGGUGAGAUCUUAUCUAUAAGGCUGAUUGCGACCUCGAUGUUGAAUUAUAAGUUCUUGCAGUGCAGCAGCUGUGAAAGAAGGUUUGUUCAACCUUUAAAUUUUUACAUGAUCAGAGUUCAGACCGGA
rnacentral:rRNA from 1 species